CUUCGGAAAUCAUUGUGGGUGAGCACACCCAUUUUUCGGCGAACCGUGGACUUUGGGAGCUUUUUCCAGUCAUCUCCGAUCGAGUUACGGUUUUUGGAAGGUAAAAUUGCUAGUGGAGAAAUUCUAUAUCCUUAUCCGCGCGAAUCUUCUGCUAAGGAAUAUUUGACUUAGAAUCAAGGCACCUAAUCCCGGCGUCAAGACACUUCCGCAGCAGCAUCGUCGAGUCAUCUCGGGGUAGGACCCACUCUUUUGUUCAUUCAAUCUUAUC